GUCUAUGAACUGGCUACUUUUCUGAUGAAACCUGGUGGCCCGGCUCUAUGGGGUAAUGCAUUUGAAAGAGCGGUAAAUGCCCAUGUCCAAAGAGGCUACACUAAAGCAGUUGGUGUGUUCCAUUCCGAAUACGGAAUCCACAACAGAGUCCAUGUUCUGUGGUGGAACCAGAGUGCAGACAGUCGUGCAGCUGGGAGACAUCUGUCUCACGAUGACCCUAGAGUCGUGGCUGCUGUUCGGGAAAGUGUCAACUACCUAGAUACUAUGCAGAAUAUGCUCCUGAUCCCUGUGUCGUUUUCACCACUGAAAUAGUUCCCUGCCUAGCAUUGAGCAUCUGGUCCCUGGUGUGCGAUGCAUCAGCAGAUGAAGCUUCAAUUCUCUCAAGAGAAAUAUUUCUACUUUUAUUUGAAGGAAGUGAAUAUCCCUUCUGUAAGACAACCCCCUGCUCCAUGAGACCAGACUUCCAAGCUUGUGGUAAUAUUUUAAAAUUAUUAAUAAAUAUAUAAAUUUUUCCAAUCUUUUUGCCUGAAAUGUUUUCUGCUCUAGUAGAUUAUUUCAUAAUGUCAAACGGGAUUCAUGAAAAUAUAAUUUCAUGUCUUUCACAUGAAAAACUGAAUAAAUAUCUGUGUUGUCUAUAUUAAUCAUCAGUCACUCAUUUAGAAAAUAAUAGAUUCGCAUACUAAAAGUUUUGACAACUCAGGUUUAUAUGCCGAAAUGUUAUUUAUAAUUUACAUAAUAUUUAUCUC